rnacentral:rRNA from 1 species
UACGUAGGGUGCGAGCGGUAAUCGGAAUUACUGGGCGUAAAGCGUGCGCAGGCGGUUGUGUAAGAAAGGCGUGAAAUCCCUGGGCUCAACCUAGGAAAGGCGCUUGUGACUGCACGGCUAGAGUGGGGCAGAGGGGGAUGGAAUUCCGCGUGUAGCAGUGAAAUGCGUAGAUAUGCGGAGGAACACCGAUGGCGAAGGCAAUCCCCCGGGCCUGCACUGACGCUCAUGCACGAAAGCGUGGGGAGCAAACAGG